rnacentral:lncRNA from 1 species
UAUAAAUAUAUUAUAUUUAAAUGGGAGGGGAAAAAAUGAAUAAGUGAGAGUGGAUAUACCCUACACUAUAAAAGUGGAUGGGACCCAUGGAAUUAGGAUUCUCACUUGCAUCCUUAAAUAAACUUGUAAAUACUUUCACUCCAAUAAGUAAACACAUGCUUAAAAGACACCAUGUUAUACUUGUAUAAUAAGUUAUUGAGUUUUUUUCGUGAAAACUAUGUGAAGAUGAGAUAAUUAAGGAUGACAAUUUAACCCAGACCCAGGCGAACCCGAAAAAUCUGGGCCGGGUUCAACCCAUACCGGAACAAAUUAAAUUCGGAUUUAAUUUUAUCAAUCCGAUGUAUCCGGGUUCGGUUUCGGGUUUGGGUGAACCCGUAAAACCGUAACCUGGACCCAUAUAUCUUUAUUUUAAUAUAAAUUGAAAAAUUUUAAAAAAAUCAGCCCAACCCACAUUCACCGCCUCUGCCAAACAUUUUCACUCUCUCCCUUCUCUUCAUCAAAUCAUCGUCGCCACUCGCCAUUGUUUCGCUACUUUAUUGUGUUCAUGUUCAUAAUCAUCAGAGGUGAAGAAGAUCGAUGAAGAAAGAAUAAAAAAUAAUAAAAGAAUACAAAAAUAAAAAACCAAAAAAAAAAGAAGAAGAAAAGGAGAUUAGAAGUGGCCGCGCAAUAAAUGAAGAAGAAAGCAAGAGUGGAGAUGAGAACAAUGACUUGAACAACAUACAUGAUUUUGAAGACCAAAUCUCAUUUCUCACCUUUUCGGUUUUUCUUAACUUAACCCCACAAAGCCCAAUUUGUCAUCAUCAUCACCAAAUUUGUCAUCAUUAUAUUUGAAAAUUGAAUUUUGUAUGCUCUGUUACCUUUGAAUUUAUUUCUAAUUAUUUUAUUUUGAAUUAUUUUCCAUUGUUGUUGGUAAUAGAUUAAAGAUGUAGGAGGAAUUCAAUGAAGAAAAAGAGAAAAUCAUAUCUCUUUAGCAAUCAUCUGGGUUCUAAACCCGGAAUCCAAAAACUUGGAUUUUUUCGGGUUGAACCCCGACCAGACCUGGAGUAAAAAUAUCUAGAUUUAUUUUCAUGUUCGAUAUUUCAAAUUAGGGUUAUUAUCAUUUCACUACUUCAAAAAUUAAAAAAUAUCAAAUGACUACAAGAAAUAUUGUCCCAUAUCAUUUUCCUACUAUAUCAUUAAAAAAAUAUCAUUUUACUAUUUUUCUGUUAGUUGACCAGUUAGUUGACUAACAAAUUACCAAUUUUACCCUUCAUGAUUAAAAAAAAAAAAUACUUGAAGCUUAUUUACAACAUCAGCUCUUCUACAUUUAUUUGGUCAUCCAUGUUUUAUUUCCAACAUUAGGAUAUAAAAAUGGAAUCAUUAAUAGGGAUGGCAAAAUCCUCCACAGGUUUGGGGUCCCAUGGAGCCCCACCCCAAAUGGGAAAAUUUUUUAAUAAUUUUUGGGGAAUGGAAUGGGGAGUGGGAGAAAAGUAAUCCCCAAAUUGUUAACGGGGUGGGGUUUGGUAUUGCACUCCCCACUCCACCCCCAUCCCAAUCCCCAUUAUAUAUAAAUAUGUUUUUAA